rnacentral:rRNA from 1 species
AGAACGAACGCUGGCGGCAUGCCUAACACAUGCAAGUCGAACGCUUCCGGGGCUUCGGUCGCGGAGGAGUGGCGCACGGGUGAGUAGCGCGUGGGAACCUGCCCUGUUGUGGGGGAUAACCGAGGGAAACUUCGGCUAAUACCGCAUACGCCCCGGGACUUGGUCUUCGGAUUAGGUCUGGGGGGAAAGAUUGAUCGCAGCAGGAGGGGCCCGCGUCGGAUUAGCUGGUUGGUGGGGUAACGGCUCACCAAGGCGAUGAUCCGUAGCUGGUCUGAGAGGAUGAUCAGCCACACUGGGACUGAGACACGGCCCAGACUCCUACGGGAGGCAGCAGUGGGGAAUAUUGGACAAUGGGGGCAACCCUGAUCCAGCAAUGCCGCGUGAGUGAUGAAGGCCUUAGGGUUGUAAAGCUCUUUCGCGCGCGACGAUGAUGACGGUAGCGCGAGAAGAAGCCCCGGCUAACUUCGUGCCAGCAGCCGCGGU